CUACGGGUGGCUCCAGUGGGGAAUAUUGGACAAUGGGCGCAAGCCUGAUCCAGCCAUGCCGCGUGAGUGAAGAAGGCCUUAGGGUUGUAAAGCUCUUUUGGCGGGGACGAUAAUGACGGUACCCGCAGAAUAAGCUCCGGCUAACUUCGUGCCAGCAGCCGCGGUAGUACGAAGGGAGCUAGCGUUGUUCGGAAUCACUGGGCGUAAAGCGCACGUAGGCGGAUUUGUAAGUCAGGGGUGAAAUCCCGGGGCUCAACCUCGGAACUGCCUUUGAUACUGCAAGUCUCGAGUCCGGAAGAGGUGGGUGGAAUUCCUAGUGUAGAGGUGAAAUUCGUAGAUAUUAGGAAGAACACCGGUGGCGAAGGCGGCCCACUGGUCCGGUACUGACGCUGAGGUGCGAAAGCGUGGGGAGCAAACAGGAUUAGAUACCCUCGAGUC
rnacentral:rRNA from 1 species